rnacentral:rRNA from 1 species
AGCGAACGCUGGCGGCAGGCCUAACACAUGCAAGUCGAACGAACCUUUCGGGGUUAGUGGCGGACGGGUGAGUAAAACGUGGGAACGUGCCUUUAGGUUCGGAAUAACGCAGGGAAACUUGUGCUAAAACAGAAUGUGCCCUUCGGGGGAGAGAUUUAUCGCCUUUAGUGCGGCCCGCGUCUGAUUAGCUAGUUGGUUGAGGUAAUGGCUCACCAAGGUGACGACCAGUAGCUGGUCUGAGAGGAUGAUCAGCCACAUUGGGACUGAGACACGGCCCAAACUCCUACGGGAGGCAGCAGUGGGGAAUCUUGCGCAAUGGGCGAAAGCCUGACGCAGCCAUGCCGCGUGAAUGAUGAAGGUCUUAGGAUUGUAAAAUUCUGUCACCGGGGACGAUAAUGACGGUACCCGGAGAAGAAGCCCCGGCUAACUUCGUG